rnacentral:lncRNA from 1 species
UUUUCUUCUGUUUAUUGAGAAACCUUUUGCUCUCUCAUAACACCAAUUUGAUCAAUUAUGUUUUUGUUUUAUAAGUAUUUCUUCAUUGAAUUCUAAACUAAACAUGCAAACAAAUGAUCAGGACAUGUGAUGUAGAGAAUCACAAAUUAAAACUCUUUGAUGAACAUGAGGGGAAAAUGGUUCAAGAAAACCGGUACAAAGAGUAAAAGAAGGCUAAAGAAGAAAUGAAAGACAGAACAGCUAACACCCACAAAAGCCAAGAACCAGACUUGCCUAUAGUUUCAACCAUAUUUAUGAUCUCUUCCUUCUCUUUAGCUUCCAUCUUUCUUCUUCUUGCUUAUGCUUACAACUUGACCUCACAAUUGUUGGCGUCUUCGAUGAGCGAAUCUGAUUCUUUCGAUGAGGAUCGUUCCCGUAUCGAUCGGUAGAAAACCGUGCCAUAUCGGUCUCGAUCAACGACUGCAGAGAUUUCCCCCUGGAGAAAUUGAGAUAUUUAGAAAUCUGUCUUUGAAUUCAGCACCAAAGUUAUUUAUAAGACAAGGAAGGAGGAGGAGGUUAGCUUGAGUUCUCUCUUUAUCAUUGGAAGGGGUUGAUUGCUUGUAUGAUUUCCCUUAGUUUAUUGCCAACUAUGCCUACAGCAUAUCUUGAGCCAAGCCCAAGCAGAAUUCUAGGCUCAAAAAGAAAUAAACUACGCAAUUUGCUCUUCAACUUUUCUACUGUGUGUGUGAUGUUAUCUCAUUAACUUCUCACCUAAAGUUUACUUUUCCAAUAUGGAAUCCAAGGCUGGAGGUCCUACUUGAAACAGUUAAUUAGUGAGGCUUGAUUCAUCUCUGAAUGAUAUACUCCUAACACCCCAUCUUAGCAUUCAUAUUUUCUUUAGGAACAAAGGAAGAAGAGAACAUGGUGUUGACUUUAAUGGCAAAUUGUAAAAGACCAUGUAAGACUGCUGCCAAUUUAGAUUCUCCACAUUGUAUUGAG